ACAUACCCGUUUUGGGUCCAUCAAGUUUUUGGCGCCGUUGCCGGGGAGUUGCAAAGAAGAGAAACAAUUUGUGUCAAGGUGUAUUUGUUGGGAGCAAAUGAAAUGUUGAUAAAAUGUUGGUAUAAAGAAAUGAAGAAAUCAAGCCCAAAAUGAAAGGCCCAAUCCAAUUCUUGACAAUGCCAUGUCAUCAAUCCAUGUGCUUCUUUCUCCACCAUUGGAUUUGUAACUAUAGGAAAAGAUGACAAUUUUGAGCAUGAAUCCAUGUGCUUUUUUUUAGACCAAUAGGAGUGUUAUCCUUUACCAAAAAAUUUAUCUAUAAAUAGGAGUCUCAUUUCACCAUUUCAAGGACACCUUCUCUUACACCACUUCUUCCAUCUCUCUAUUCUCUCUAUCUUUUUCUUUUCUUAGAUUAGUUUUUAUGUAUUUUUAGAGGAAUAAUUUGGAGGUUCCUCCUCCAAAUUUUCCUAUUUAUGUUGUAAUUUUUAUUUUGUUUUUGAUAGUUAUGGGUUUCUAAUCCACUUAAAAUUAUUAAGGUGGAGGAUGAACCAAGAUAUAACUAUAUAGUGUUUAUUUUAUGUUGACCUCCCAAAAUGAGCAAUAAAGUUUAUGAUUUUUCUUCUUCUAAAUA